GAAGUGCUCCAGUUGAUUACUUAGAGACUUGCAUAAUUGUACAUUCUCUGAAUGUAUGUUUUAAGCUUCCAUAUGGAACUCAUGCACCUAUAGUGUUCUCUGAUUCUCUUUUGCAAAUGUUUCAGAUCGCUACCCGCAACAAGCUGAUUAUAUCGAACACAUGGAAGAACAUCAAGCCUGUUUUUAAUCAGUUUCAUGCUGCCACCCUAGUUUUCAAUAAGUCUUGGACCUUCCUCCAGCAAGAAAACCUAAUAUCCGAACUUCAACAGCUGACAAUAUGGAGUUGCAUGGACAUUCCGCAUAUAGGGUGCCUGCCUGGGCUCAGUUUUCUUCAAACUCUGGUUAUAAAGGACUGUCCUACAAUCCAACUUCUUUCAAAUGAAAUGCUCCCAUCCAUGCUCAGGUCUUUGGAAGUAGAUAGUUGCGAGAACCUAAGGUCUGUACAGUUGGUGGACAUUCUCACAUCUCUUGAAACUCUGGUUAUAAGGGACUGUCCUAGAAUCCAACUCCUGCCAAAUGAAAUGCUCCCCUCCACGCUCAGGUCCUUAGAAGUUGAUAGUUGCGAGAACUUAAGGUCUGCACGGUUGGACAUUCUCACGUCUCUUGAAACUCGGGUCAUCACGGACUGUCCUAGAAUCCAACUCCUGCCAAACGAAAUGCUCCCAUCCACGCUCAGGUCCUUGGUAGUUCUUGGUUGCGAGAACCUAAGGUCUGUACAGUGGGACCUGCAGGAAGGCCCAUAUGCACUUGAUGUGCUGCGGAUUAUGAAUUACCGUACGUCCUCAAGCGUUACUGUUCGGUCUGGCUUCUUCUUUCAGAGACAAGUCAGGAUGCAAAGAACCAGCGAAAGCAAUGACAUAUCAGCUUUACAAGAAAGUAUAAGAAGAAUCGACAUUUGAUGCUUGAGCUUCCUUCUGGUUGUAGCUCACAGUGCCCAGUACAAAUCAGUACAGAACCAUCGACAAGGAGUUUUAGGCAAUGAUGAGAAGCUGCUUCUGUCAAUCUACGCUUACCUCCUCAAGAAUGGAUUUGAAGUGAAGAGUUUCUUGGUGCAAUGCUGUCCUUAUGCAAGGAUCGGUUGGCAGAUUCCUUGCAGUUGUGUGACUGUUAUGUUAGUGGUGCUGGAUAUUUGCAUGGACCAUUUUUUUUUAAAUCUAAAUCCCUAGGAUCUGUAUGUACUCUAUGAUUUUCCAAAUGUACCUGCUGCAUUUUAUAAUCUUGUAAUAUAAAGCAUGCCAUCUGUGAUACAUGUGGUCUUAGAUAUGCAGAGAUGUGGAGCUUCGUUAGCGCACUCCAACUGUGGAGUUAGCGGAACUCCGACCUUUUGUAUUUUGCUGUGUAAGCUUCAUGAACGAAAUAGAGAUAUCUGAGAUGGGAAUUAUCUACCUCAUUGCCACCGCCUCCAAGCACAACAAAGGAGCUCGAAAGCCUAUAUUAUCUGCUGCAUUCGGUGCAUCCCCGAAGGUGUGAGGAUAAACCAAACAUACUCGGUGAGAUCCUUUUAUCAUUUCAUCAAGAGUGGUAGUGUUCUCUUCCCAUAUUAUGGUGACAUGUGGAAAGUGAAUGCACCUGAAAAAUCAAAAUCUUCUGCUGGUUGGUGCUCAGAAAUUGAUUACAUGCGGUAGAUGUUCCAAGAAGAAAGGAAUGGCAGGAUUCCUACUUGUGUUCCUCCAUGGUGCAGCAGAUGAGUUAGGAAGCCAUCCGUUCCUGCAUUGCUCUUAUAGCAAGAGCAUUUGGUUCAUGGUCAAGAUUUGUGGGAAAAUUAAAUAUCAUCCUCCAUCCCUUCUUUUCUUGUGGACGUCUUGGCGAUCAAAGAGCAUCAAAAAAAAAAAAAAAAGCUUUAGGAGAGGAUGGGAUCAGUUAUCCUGUGAACAAAAUGCUUUAGUCCUGACAAUUUAUUGGAAAUUAUGGCGUGAACAAAAUGCAAGAAUUUUUCUCAAGAGAAGUCAUCCUGUGACUCAGGCCCUCAGGAAUGCAGUGAACGAAUUCAUUGAUUGGGCCGCCUUAUAUUCUUCUGGAUCUCGGCAGUUGCAUGAUAUGAUGUCAAGAAAGCUCUCCUCUCUGCUACAGUGCCCUGUUUAAGUCCCUUUGCUUCCGUGUCUCUCUCUUCUUGUUGGGAAAUUCUUUUUUUUUCUUUGG